CUUGCUGAACCCUUACUCCUCCUUCCCGUCUUUCAUCCGUCUUCCCCUGCUUCUCCUUCUUCAUCCUUUCUUCUCCUCUUCCUCCUCCUCUUCCGGGAACCCUGACUGUGUGCAUGGACUGGGAAAGGAGAGGCUGGAGAGCAGCUGCGAGGAGGAGCCUGGCGAUCCUGAGCGAUGCCCAGUUAGAUCUGAGUCASCAGAGCCUGGCAGCCAGGAGGGUCAUCCGUGUGCUGGGGGCAUCAGGGCCAGCAUCGCCCGCCGGACACCAGGGAGGGGACACUCAUGGGCRAAACAGACUGAACUCGAGGAUUGGAAUUGAAUUAUUUACCUAUCAAAAUCGGAGCAGGAUGUAGAGAGCAGGGACAGAGUAGUUUKGGUGGCAUCCAGCAUCCAGCCGGGGUCAACCCACCACCAGAUCCUACAUGGUCCAGGACUGAAGGAAAAGCUUUGGAAGAAGCUCCAACAUCAUCAAGCACCAGUUGAACCACAUGGGGAGACCCUAUGAAUGCCAAAACUAUGGGAAGGGCUUCACUGCGAGCUGAAAGCUCCUGGAACACAUGUAGAACUCCAUAUGGAGGAGGUCCYUACAUGUUCUCAGGAUGCAAGAAGAGGGAGGGCUCCACAGGGAGCCAAGGUCCCACCAGAACUACUACCUGAAGUAGAAGGUGGUGAUAAGUCUCAAGCCCAGGGCCCUGGAGCACUUGGGGGUCUCCAGCUAGACUCUGCUGAGCCCCAGGAAGGAGCUCAUAUAGUCCCUCAUCCUGCCUUCAAGAUCGCUUGGGAUUUCCCAUCCAUCUCUGCAUUCCCUCCUCCAAGAUCUCCAGGCUCCUGAGAUGAGCCCAAAGUAGUGGAAGUCCCCAACCAGAGAGGCCACAAAACCCCAAAUUUUAUCCCCAUUCACAAACUUUUUCCCUUUUCCUCUUCUUUUCUCCUUCCCAUGUUCUGCCACAGCCGAUGGAAGCAGCCAAGAGCCCAGCACUGCCCAUCCCGACGUGUCCCRGCUCCACCCCUGCUCCUCCUGCAGGAUGUGAGGGGUUUUGGGGGAAAGGGUGGGUGCUGGCUGUGAGAGGAGGAGAAGAAGAAAUGGAGGAAGAAGGCUGAAGAAGGAGCGGGAGAAGGGAUGGAGCUCUUCAGGGUCAUGCUGAGGAUCCAGUCUGAGCAGGGACAGCACAAAGCUUUAUCCAUGAGCUUCGGUCACUGGCUGGUCUCCUUGUUGAUCAGAACUUCCAUGUUUGUUUACCUGAAGCCCCCCUUCAUCUCCUCCCCAUUGCUGGAUCUGAUGGUGUCAGUUCUGUACUCAGUGGUGCCUCCAACACUGAACCCCUUCAUCUACAGCCUGAGGCACUAGAAGUUCAAGGAUGUCCUGAAGAAACUUGUGACUAGAUGCUUUUCAGGAGCCACAGCCUGCCUGCUGUCCUCUGUCAGUGUCUCCCAGUGCAUCUCAUGAUAGAACAAGUCUGGUUUUCCUUAUUUACAUCUCUUUUCUUCUCUGCUUGUGAUGUUCUCUUUAAGAACAAAUGUCAUUACUCAUCCCCUCCUCCUUCAGCAUCCACCAAGCUUGUGUGACCAGGAGACUUUGUAAAUAGGGAGACUCACAGUGUAUUCAAAUGAAAUAAAUUAACCUGCAGCAAUUUUUGGGGGGUCUUGAGAUCCAUCCUCGGUAGAGCAGGAAUGAGUGGGAAAUGAGAACAGCUUUCUGGCUGCACCAGCCUUGGAAUGAGCCCUGUGUCUGGAGCAGGAAUAGCUCUUCUGGACCACAGGGCCUGUGACUUGUGUUAGCCUGGGGAGAUGGGAUGGCAGGAAGGCCUGCAGAGCUCUCAGCAUCUCCUGGAGAGGAGAGCAGGGCACACAGGGAGCUUCCUUUCCCUUUGGCCAAACACCUUUCCCCAUGGCUGGGGCUGAGUCCUCUGUGAGCUACAGCUGCUGCUGUGCCCUUGAGAGGGGCUGAGGCUGUGGGGCCACUGGCCAGAGCAGCCAGCCCUGAAUCAUGUGGGGCCAGGCCCCUGGUACUACAGAGAGCUCAGAGGAGGUGUGAGAGCUUGGAGGGAGCUGGGCUGAGCUGGAAAGAACUGGUGAAAGAAAACCAUCAGUGCCCAUCUCACCCUCUGUGACCAUGCAGGGGCAGAACUUACCCCAGGGGUUUGUGGAGCAGAGCCAAGGCUUGAGGAGGGGAUCCAACAGACACUGAUACUCAUGUUGGGGGAUGCAAUGGCUUCCUUGCCUGAGUCUUUACUGGAAAGGUCUCUCAGGUCUCUGUGUUCAGUGAAAGGCUUCAAGGAGGAGGAAAGUAUUGGCAGGAACCUCACUGAGGGGAAGCAGGGGUUAAAAGCAGAUGAUUUGGCAAGGAAGAAAAAAAUAAGAGUUGUUUUCACUCAAAGAUGAUCUUGUAACUGAAAGAUGCUAAUACUCGGUGGGGGAAAUCUCACAUAUUUUGGUUGCUUUGGGUUGUUUUCUGUCUGAUUUGAGAAGUGGAAUUUCUGCAGAAGACAACAGGAUGUUGUAAAAAGACCUGAAAAAUAUUUUUUUUCACAGCCCGAGGCCUCCUGGUGAGAGGGAACAGAGGUAAAAAGCUCAGAGAUUUCAAAAACACUGCCUCAUGAAGGAAUGUGCCUGUGAUAGGCCCUGUGAUAUGUUAAGGCAGGGAACAAGCUUGUGCAUGCUCUUUGCUCCUGUUAAGAUGGAAUAAGCUUAGGCAUUAUGUGUCCCCUAUUUUCCUAC